rnacentral:lncRNA from 1 species
AACAAACAAUCAAGAUUGAGAUUUUGUUUGGUGCCUGAUUUAUUUGCAGGCGGUGGAACACCUUUUUUAUUAUCUGUAAUCUCGGUAUUUUAAAGUCUUAGGUUGAAUCCCCUUGGUUAGUUGCGAAAUGCUUAAUAAUUUCUUCCUUCACUGCCUAUCAGUGUUGCUAUGCUGCUGUACCGCAUACAGAGCUUCAGUUUCACCGUUCAGAAGAUAUGCUGUUGUUGCUUAUGAGUCUCUGAAAUUAGUAAAAUUAAUAAAAAAAUUUCGUGUUCAAAUGCAUGU